UUACGUCGAUAUCACGUUGAAACAUCCCUUCUCGUACGAUCACCGAAGUUAAGCAACGUCGAGACUGGUCAGUACCUGGAUCGGUGACCGCUUGGGAAUACCAGGUGCU